UUAACAAAAACAUGUCUUAUUGUUUUAAAUUAUAUUAAGUCAGGCCUGCUCAGUGAUUAUAUAGAAUUAAAUAGCCGCAGUAAUUUGACUGUGCGAAGGUAGCAUAAUCAUUUGUCUUUUAAUUGAAGGCUUGUAUGAAUGGUUUGAUGAAACUCUGACUUUCUUCACUGCAAAGAUUAGAAUUUAAUAUUUGAGUUAAAAAGCUUAGAUAUUUCCAUAGGACGAGAAGACCCUAUAGAAUUUUACUAUAUAUUUAAUAUUAUUUAUUUUAGGUAUUUUAUUUUUAAGAAUUUUAGAUUAUAGUUGUGUUGGGGUGACAAAGAAAUUAAUUUAACUUUCUUUAUUAUUUGAUUUUAAUGAUUUUUAUAUUAAUGAUCCUUUAUUAUGGAUAGUAAGAUUAAAUUACCUUAGGGAUAACAGCGUAAU
rnacentral:rRNA from 1 species